UACGGGGGGGGCAAGCGUUGUUCGGAAUUACUGGGCGUAAAGGGCUCGUAGGUGGCCAACUAAGUCGGACGUGAAAUCCCUCAGCUUAACUGGGGAACUGCGUCCGAUACUGGAUGGCUUGAGUUUGGGAGAGGGAUGCGGAAUUCCAGGUGUAGCGGUGAAAUGCGUAGAUAUCUGGAGGAACACCCGUAGCGAAGGCGGCACUCUGGGCCGAUACUGACACUGAGGAGCGAAAGCGUGGGGAGCGAACAGG
rnacentral:rRNA from 1 species